CAGUUGGAAGCGGUGCUGCCUUGAAGAGGGUGAGCGCGGAGCUGCGUGAGGACGGGGGAGAAACUGAGGUGAGAACGGACGGUCUCCGGCAGGAGCGCUCGUGAGGACUGGGCGCCCGCGGCUCCCUGUGUGUGAAGGACGGGGCGCGCCAUCGGCGGGAAGCGGUUUCGUCGUGAUGGACAGCCCAGAAGUUCUGGAGUGCAGCAUGUCCUUUGUUCUUCUCUGCAGCCAGGGUACCUAAAUCACGGAUAUUUUGAAAAUAUCAGAAGCCAAGUAUUGGAAAGACCUAUGGAAUAUUGAAGUUGCUGGGACGUCUGACUGAUAGAGCGGUGAUGAACAAGGAGGAGGUAUUGCUGCAACAUCUAGAGUGACUAAAAGCUGUCGAACUCCAAUGGCCAUCAGACAAGGCUUCCAGCCCAUUCCGCUGGACGACCUGAGCAGCCUUCUGGACCAAGCAGGACAGUCUUUCCAAGGCUGUUGCACACCAUGAGACAGAUAGGAAGAGGAAAUACCCAAAUCCCCCUCGAUGCCCACAUGCCAGCUUUGAAGAAGUUACAGAAAAUGGAACUCCAUCCAUAAUCCCAAAGAAUUUUGGGUAUUGCCUCUUGACGGGGGAAUGUUAGGUAGGAAAUCAGAUAUGAGCUUAUGUGUGUGUGACAUAAAGGCCUAAAGAGAAGACAUCUAUGUCCACCAUAUGCAUCUGCAUCUCAAAGUCAUCCUUACAGUGUUUCAGGGGCAGCCUGGUAUUCGCAUUCUGCCCUGCCCCUUCCUACCUGAUAACCUGCCAGGUGGAGGUCCCCACCCCUUCUGCCUGACAAAUCUUCCACAAUCUCCCAGAUGCAGCCCAGUAUCUGCAUUUCAAACACCCUGCUCCAGAUCCCAAUUCUCUAGGGAGUCCUGCUCACCCUUGCUCUAAACCCAGGAUGGUACCAGCUAGCCUCCCUCCUGUCUGAUACCUUCAAGGGAAAACUCAGAUAGGAGCUUCUUAAUAUUUAUGUCCAUAAAAUCAUAAAAUCUUUUGUUUCAGGAAGAAAUGUGUGAAGACAAAGACCCAUCUCCUUAAAAACCCCCGGCCUUAACCAGACUGCGUGCUCAGCCCUCUGCCUCUCUGCUGAGCUGCCCGCCUGACCUGUUCAGGUGUAAUCUCUCUACUCAACCAUGUAACCUUGCUCCUUCCCCCUGUCCAAGCGACUGGACGCUCUCUCAGGUCCUGUCUGGAGAGGUGCCCAUCCAUCCUUAUGGAUGUCCCUUCCCUAAUAAACCUUGCUAUUUUACCUCCCACAAAAAAAAAAAAAAAGAAAAA